rnacentral:rRNA from 1 species
UACGUAGGGUGCGAGCGUUAAUCGGAAUUACUGGGCGUAAAGUGUGCGCAGGCGGCCGCGCAAGUCGAGUGUGAAAGCCCCGGGCUUAACUUGGGAAUUGCGCUCGAAACUACGUGGCUGGAGUGUGGCAGAGGAAGGUGGAAUUCCAGGUGUAGCGGUGAAAUGUGUAGAGAUCGGGAGGAACACCGGUGGCGAAGGCGGGUCUCUGGGCAAUUCCUGACGCUGAGGCGCGAAAGCGUGGGGAGCAAACGGG